GACGAACGCUGGCGGCGUGCCUAAUACAUGCAAGUUGAGCGCUGAAGGUUGGUACUUGUACCAACUGGAUGAGCAGCGAACGGGUGAGUAACGCGUGGGGAAUCUGCCUUUGAGCGGGGGACAACAUUUGGAAACGAAUGCUAAUACCGCAUAAAAACUUUAAACACAAGUUUUAAGUUUGAAAGAUGCAAUUGCAUCACUCAAAGAUGAUCCCGCGUUGUAUUAGCUAGUUGGUGAGGUAAAGGCUCACCAAGGCGAUGAUACAUAGCCGACCUGAGAGGGUGAUCGGCCAAAUUGGGACUGAGACGCGGCCCAAACUCCUAAGGGAGGCAGCAGUAGGGAAUCUUCGGCAAUGGACGAAAGGCUGACCGAGCAACGCCGCGUGAGUGAAGAAGGUUGUCGGAUCGUAAAACUCUGUUGGUAGAGAAGAACGUUGGUGAGAGUGGAAAGCUCAUCAAGUGACGGUAACUACCCAGAAAGGGACGGCUAACUACGUG
rnacentral:rRNA from 1 species